rnacentral:rRNA from 1 species
UACGAAGGGGGCUAGCGUUGCUCGGAAUCACUGGGCGUAAAGCGCACGUAGGCGGCUUUUUAAGUCAGGGGUGAAAUCCUGGAGCUCAACUCCAGAACUGCCUUUGAUACUGAGAAGCUUGAGUCCGGGAGAGGUGAGUGGAACUGCGAGUGUAGAGGUGAAAUUCGUAGAUAUCGGGAGGAACACCCGUGGCGAAGGCGGCGAUCUGGGUCGGUACUGACGCUGAGACGCGAAAGCGUGGGGAGCAAACAGG